GAGCUUGCUCCUACUGGAUUAGUGGCGAACGGGUGAGUAACACGUGAGCAAUCUGCCCCUGACUCUGGGAUAAGCGUUGGAAACGACGUCUAAUACCGGAUACGAGCUGGGACCGCAUGGUCACCAGCUGGAAAGAACUUUGGUCAGGGAUGAGCUCGCGGCCUAUCAGCUUGUUGGUGAGGUAAUGGCUCACCAAGGCGACGACGGGUAGCCGGCCUGAGAGGGUGACCGGCCACACUGGGACUGAGACACGGCCCAGACUCCUACGGGAGGCAGCAGUGGGGAAUAUUGCACAAUGGGCGCAAGCCUGAUGCAGCAACGCCGCGUGAGGGACGAAGGCCUUCGGGUUGUAAACCUCUUUUAGCAGGGAAGAAGCGAAAGUGACGGUACCUGCAGAAAAAGCGCCGGCUAACUACGUGCCAGCAGCCGCGGUAAUACGUAGGGCGCAAGCGUUGUCCGGAAUUAUUGGGCGUAAAGAGCUCGUAGGCGGUUUGUCGCGUCUGCUGUG
rnacentral:rRNA from 1 species